rnacentral:lncRNA from 1 species
AAGGAGUUGAAAAAAUAUUCUUAAUAAACCUUAAAAGAAUCCUUAAAAAAUCCUAAAAAAUAUUACAAUAAUCACAAGUAUAUCUUAAAUAUAUCGCAACUAAUUUCUAAUUUAAUCUUCAUUAAAAUCCUAAUAGACUUCAAUCAAAUCUUAAAAAAAUUCUAAUUCUAAACCAAAUACUAGACAAACUUUAAAUUCUAGAUCAAAUCCUAAAUAAAAUCUAAAUCCUAAACUAAAUCCUAGACAAAUUCUAAAUCUUAAAUCAAAUCUUAGAUAAAUUCUAAAUCCUAAAUCAAAUCCUAGACAAAUCCUAAAUCCUAAAUCAAACCUUAAGCAAAUCCUAAAUCCUAAAUCAAAUCCUAGAAAAAACUUAAUCCUAAAUCAUAUCCUAAACCAAAUCCUAAUCCUAAAUCAAAUUCUAAAUAAACCUUAACCAAUUCAAUCUAAUCCUAGUACUGUUUAGAACCUCAAUAUCUAUCAAUCGAACUAUUGAUCUUACUUCAAAAUUUACAUACUUUUCAAUAAUUAAAUUAACAACAAGUAUACAAAAUUUGAAGAUAAUUGCACUUAUCAAUUAGAAGAAAAAUCCUAAAAUCUGCUUGGUUGUUGGUUGGUUUUCUACUCCAAUCUAAAUGUUGAACUUCUAAAGCCAAUAUAUUUUUUUUAAAUC